rnacentral:rRNA from 1 species
CACGUAGGGCGCAAGCGUUGUCCGGAAUUAUUGGGCGUAAAGAGCUCGUAGGUGGUUUGUUACGUCCGCUGUGAAAUCCUAGGGCUUAACCCUGGGCUUGCAGUGGAUACGGGCAGACUAGAGGUAGGUAGGGGAGAAUGGAAUUCCUGGUGUAGCGGUGAAAUGCGCAGAUAUCAGGAGGAACACCAAUGGCGAAGGCAGCACUCUGGGACGUGACUGACGCUGAGACGCGAAAGCGUGGGGAGCAAACAGG